AGGGUUUGAUCAUGGCUCAGAACGUACGCUGGCGGCACGCCUAACACAUGCAAGUCGAACGAAGUAGCAAUACUUAGUGGCAGACGGGUGAGUAACAUGUGGGUAUCUGCCCUUUGGCCUGGAAUAACACGAGGAAACUUGUGCUAAUACCGGAUAAGUCUUUACGGAGAAAGCUUUAUGCACCAUUGGAUGAGCCCGCACUUGAUUAGUUUGUUGGUGGGGUAAUGGCCUACCAAGACUGUGAUCAAUAGCUGAUUUGAGAGGAUGAUCAGCCACAUUGGGACUGAGACACGGCCCAAACUCCUACGGGAGGCAGCAGUGGGGAAUCUUGCACAAUGGAGGAAACUCUGAUGCAGCGAUGCCGCGUGAGUGAAGAAGGCCCUUGGGUUGUAAAGCUCUUUCGUCGGGGAAGAAAAUGACUGUACCCGAAUAAGAAGGUCCGGCUAACUUCGUGCCAGCAGCCGCGGUAAUACGAAGGGACCUAGCGUAGUUCGGAAUUACUGGGCUUAAAGAGUUCGUAGGUGGUUGAAAAAGUUAGUGGUGAAAUCCCAGAGCUUAACUCUGGAACUGCCAUUAAAACUUUUCAGCUAGAGUAUGAUAGAGGAAAGCAGAAUUUCUAGUGUAGAGGUGAAAUUCGUAGAUAUUAGAAAGAAUACCAAUUGCGAAGGCAGCUUUCUGGAUCAUUACUGACACUGAGGAACGAAAGCAUGGGUAGCGAAGAGGAUUAGAUACCCUCGUAGUCCAUGCCGUAAACGAUGUGUGUUAGACGUUGGAAAUUUAUUUUCAGUGUCGCAGCGAAAGCGAUAAACACACCGCCUGGGGAGUACGACCGCAAGGUUAAAACUCAAAUGAAUUGACGGGGACCCGCACAAGUAGUGGAGCAUGUGGUUUAAUUCGAAGAUACGCGCAGAACCUUACCAACACUUGACAUGUUCGUCGCGACUCUAAGAGAUUAGAGUUUUCGGUUCGGCCGGACGAAACACAGGUGCUGCAUGGCUGUCGUCAGCUCGUGUCGUGAGAUGUUGGGUUAAGUCCCGCAACGAGCGCAACCCUCACUUUUAGUUGCCAUCAUUAAGUUGGGCACUCUGAAAGAACUGCCAGUGAUAAGCUGGAGGAAGGUGGGGAUGACGUCAAGUCCUCAUGGCCCUUACGUGUUGGGCUACACACGUGCUACAAUGGUAUCUACAACAGGAAGCAAGACUGCGAGGUCAAGCAAAUCCUUAAAAGAUACCUCAGUUCGGAUUGCACUCUGCAACUCGAGUGCAUGAAGCUGGAAUUACUAGUAAUCGUGGAUCAGCGUGCCACGGUGAAUGCGUUCCCGGGUCUUGUACACACCGCCCGUCACACCAUGGGAGUUGGUUCUACCUUAAGGCAAGGUUUCAAACCCUUGACCACGGUAUAGUCAGCGACUGGGGUGAAGUCGUAACAAGGUA
rnacentral:rRNA from 1 species